CAUCAUCAUCAUCAUUUAAUGUCCGCUUUCCAUGUUGGCAUAGGUUGGACAGUCCGACUGAAAACUGGUAACCCAGGGGGACUGCACCAGGUUCCGAUCUGAUUUGGCAAAGUUUCUACAGCUGGAUGCCCUUCCUAAUGCCAACCACUCCAAGAGAGUAGUGGGUGCUUUUUACGUGGCACUGGCAUCAGCCAC